GGAAAAGCACUUUGAUUCCUAUCUCUAAGAAUAAAGAGAUAUUCAAAGCUGUACAAAUUAUUAGAGUAUUAUAUUGAUGACUCAAACCAUGAAGUUGUGUUAAAGAGUGAUUGAAUGCAAACUUAAGGAUACCACUAAGGUAUCAGAUAACUAAUUUGGCUUUAUAUUUGAUAGAUCUAUAACAGAUGCUAUCUUUACGUUCAAAAGAUUAAUGAAAAUUUAUUGGAAGAAGAAGAAGGAUCUCUAAAUGGUAUUUACUGAGCUUAUUAAAAAAAAUGGUAUUCAUUGACAUUGACCUAGAAAAAGCAUAUGAUAGAGUAUUAAGGGAAAGUUCUUUUGUAGGUGCUAGAGAAAAAGGAGUAAAUCUCAAACAUAUAAGUGUCAUUAGGGCUUGAGCAUAGAGGAGACUAGCUGGGAGAAAGCAACAGACCUUCAACAAUAUGUCCAGAAGAUUGAAGAUUUUCUACAAGCGCAGUCAACGAAGACGUCGACCAUUUGAGUGGGGGAGAAUGUCAAGGGGUAGGAAGUUUGGGGAGAAUGAUGUGUAAACUUAACCUCUUUAAGGGGCAAAAGAGACAAUUUGUAUUUUAUUUUUAUUUAUGUAAUU
rnacentral:misc_RNA from 1 species